GUUUUCCCUUUGGCAACACAUAGACUAAAAUUGGAACAGUACAGAGGUUAGCCUGGACAUCCCACAAGGAUGACACACAAAUUCACAAUACAUCCCCUUUAAAA
ensembl:snRNA U6 U6 spliceosomal RNA